ensembl:lncRNA H2BP1 H2B histone pseudogene 1
GCGGUAGUUCGGAUUACUUCUUUAAGUGUCUGUUCUCUUUUUUCGCGCAAAAAUGCCGGAUCCAGCGAAAUCCGCUCCUGCUCCCAAGAAGGGCUCCAAAAAGGCUGUUAAAAGAGUGCAGAAGAAGGACGGCGAGAAGCGCAAGCGCAGCCGCAAGGAGAGCUACUCCGUUUACGUGUAGGAGGUGCUGAAGCAGGUCCACCCCGACACCGGCAUCUCGUCCAAGGCCAUGGGCAUCAUGAACUCCUUCGUCAACGACAUCUUCGAGCGCAUCGCGGGAGAGGCGUCCCGCCUGGCGCACUACAACAAGCGCUCCACCAUCACAUCCCGUGAGAUCCAGACGGCCGUGCGCCUGCUGCUGCCCGGCAAGCUGGCCAAGCACGCCGUGUCCGAGGGCACCAAGGCGGUCACCAAGUACACCAGCUCGAACAUUUUCUAGCUGAAGUUACUGUUGUUGUCAACUACUCAGCAUCCAAAAUUUUCACAAGAAAACAAGGUUUUUUCUCUUCAAAUUACAGUCCAAAGAGUGGCAAACAAGAAAGAUGACAGAGUCCGAAGACCUUAAGAUUUCUUUUCUUUGGUCAAGAACUCAUUACACAAUGGAUGAUACAUCUUAGGUGGUCCUACUAAAAAGAGACACAAGAAUCUAGAGACUAUCUCACUGUCAACCAAUCCAAGGAACUUUGCUUUAGAUGGCCAAAGCCAGAAACAGCAAAGUAGAAGAACUACUAGAGCUUUAAGCAGUUCCUUAGUAUUUUUCCUUGGCUUAUCCAAGCCUGGAUACUGGUCCACUUUCCCAAAGUUGGUAAAGAGGUAAUACAGCUUGGGAUUGAUUGGAUAUUGAGACAGAAAGAGAGGGGGAGAGAGAGAUAUCUAGGUACUGGAGCAGCACUAGGCACUCAGAAGAAGGAACACUUGGAGCAAAAAAUGAAGGAUAUAGAUUAGUGAAGUGAAGUCAGGAGCAAAUGAUCUCAGUUGCUUUACAUGAUCAAAGGACAAUAACUGCAAAUUGCCAGAGGGUAGGUGAAGCUCCAUAUCACUUUUUAAUAUUAGUGUUUUAAACACCUAGGAAUAGAAUAUACCUAAAGAUAAUAGCUUGAUUUCCCCACACCCACCUUUGCAAUGUUUUGAUUUUGCACAAGUCUUGGUUUCUAGUUUGUGGGAUUAUCAUUUUUCAUUGCAUUGAAGGAAAAUUCUUUAGGCCAGGAGGGAGUCUAAGACUUCAGACACAGCACAGAUACGAUCCUGGGCAAGGGUCAUUCAGUGUUCUUAAGAAAAUUCUAAAUCCUAAGGUGUGAUGGUUAAUAUUAGGUGUCAACUUGAUAGGAUUAAAGGAUGCCUAGAUAGCUAAGUAUUGUUUCUGGGUGUGUCUGUGAGGGUGUUGCCAGAGGAGAUUAACAUUUGAGUCAGUGGACCAGGAGAGGAAGACUCACCCUCAAUGUGGGUUGGCACCAUCCAGUCGGCUGCCAGGGUAGCUACAACAAAGCAGGAGAGAGAAGGUGGGCUAAGCUGGCUUGCAGAGUUCUGGCUUUCAUCCCUCUCCUGUGCUGGAUGCCUCCAUCCAUUCCUCCUGCCUUUGGACAUCAGACUCCAGGUUGUUUGGCCUUUGGACUCUUGGACUUAACACCAGUGGCUUGCCUGGGGCUUUUGGGCCUUAGGCCACAGACUGAAGGCUGCACUAUGGGCUUCCCUACUCUUGAGGCUUUUGGACUCAGACUGAACCACUACUGGCUUCUUUCUUCCUCAGCUUGCAGACGGCCCACCGUAGGACAUUGCCUUGUAAUCAUGUGAGCCAAUUCUCCUUAAUAAACUCCUUUUAAUAUAUCUA